CUGGUGUCAGCCGCCGCGGUAAUACCAGCACCUCGAGUGGUCAGGACGUUUAUUGGGCCUAAAGCAUCCGUAGCCGGCUCUGCAAGUCUUCGGUUAAAUCCACCUGCUCAACAGAUGGGCUGCUGGAGAUACUACAGAGCUAGGGAGUGGGAGAGGCAGACGGUAUUCAGUGGGUAGGGGUAAAAUCCUCUGAUCCAUUGAGGACCACCAGUGGCGAAGGCGGUCUGCCAGAACACGUUCGACGGUGAGGGAUGAAAGCUGGGGGAGCAAACCGGAUUAGAUACCCGGGUAGUCCCAGCUGUAAACGAUGCAAACUCGGUGAUGCAUUGGCUUAUGGCCAAUGCAGUGCCGCAGGGAAGCCGUUAAGUUUGCCGCCAGGGAAGUACGGACGCAAGUCUGAAACUUAAAGGAAUUGGCGGGGGAGCACCACAAGGGGUGAAGCCUGCGGUUCAAUUGGAGUCAACGCCAGGAAUCUUACCCGGGGAGACAGCAGAAUGAAGGUCAAGCUGAAGACUUUACCAGACAAGCU
rnacentral:rRNA from 2 species